CAGCAGCCGCGGUAAUACAGAGGGUGCGAGCGUUAAUCGGAUUUACUGGGCGUAAAGCGUGCGUAGGCGGCUAAUUGAGUCGGAUGUGAAAUCCCCGAGCUUAACUUGGGAAUUGCAUUCGAUACUGGUUAGCUAGAGUGUGGGAGAGGAUGGUAGAAUUCCAGGUGUAGCGGUGAAAUGCGUAGAGAUCUGGAGGAAUACCGAUGGCGAAGGCAGCCAUCUGGCCUAACACUGACGCUGAGGUACGAAAGCAUGGGGAGCAAACAGGAUUAGAUACCCCCGUAGUCCCUGUCUCUUAUAU
rnacentral:rRNA from 1 species